CCGCCAGCCGCGGGGCGGCCCUGCGCGCGCGCUCCGCCGUUAACGGUCGCUGCCGCGCGGCGCGGGCCUGCGAGGCCCAGGGGCUCUCCGGCGUCCUUUCGCCUUGUGCUCCGCUCAGAGCGCCUUUGUUGGGGCUAGGGGGAAGGAGCCUCCGCUAAAGCACAAGCGAGCGCUUCCAGCCUGCCUCAAGUGCGUCUCCUGCCCUCUGCCCCAGCAGGCGUGCUCGCAGCAGGCUGUGAAGCCCGGCCUGGCUGUAGCACGCUGCCCCUUUGCUGCGGAAAAGCUUAGCGUCUUGCAGCUAUGUGGGGUGCCAUCAGAUGAUUCACCUUCAAGUAGCAUCAGUAAAAAUUCUCUUGGAUGGUUUCAAAGGAGGUCACCGUUCUGAAGAACUUUUAACUUCUUUUAUUUGUAACAGCCCCUGUAUGUUCAUAACUCUUUAAUUAUGUGUUUUAUGUAUUGCAAAACAAAAAUCAAUAAGUUGUGUUUAUUUUUUAAGAGAAGAUCUCGCAAGAGACAAAAAGGUCGUGGUAGUAUCAAGGAAAUCAUAAAAGCCUACUACCUUUACUCUAAUUUUUAAAGACAAGAGCAUCUGAGUGACUAUGUUGAAAGUAUAUCUGAGUGUUCAGAUCUUGCUUCAUUUAGUUCCCAUAUAAUAAUCCUUUUAAAGUAAAAUGAUUGCACCUGUUGAGUAAAUAUCUACAUAAAACCCAAACUCAUAUCUACAGAAGAAAUCUAUUUAUUUUAGCUCAAGG
rnacentral:lncRNA from 1 species